GACUGAGUGGGAGAGAGAGAGAGAAAAACAAAACAAAAGUCUCCAAUACCUUGAGGUUCAUAAUGGAAAAUAUUUGACCUGGCCUCUUAAUUCAAGGAAUGAAAAGUCCCCGAGCCCAGAUGGCAGGAAGUAUGGAGUUUAAUCACUCCCAGAUAGACCUAACAAGACCAGUCGGAAUAGGUACUGCAGCCAAACAGACCUGGGUCUAACUAGGGGGGAUAGGUACUGCAGCCUUACAGACCUGGGUCUAACUAGGGGGGAUAGGUACUGCAGCCUAACAGACCUGGGUCUAACUAAGGGGGAUGGGUACUGCAGCCUAACAGACCUGGGUCUAACUAGGGGGGAUAGGUACUGCAGCCUAACAGACCUGGGUCUAACACAGACCUGGG
ensembl:lncRNA